CCUACGGGAGGCAGCAGUGAGGAAUAUUGGUCAGUGGACGAGAGUCUGAACCAGCCAAGUAGCGUGAAGGAUGACUGCCCUAUGGGUUGUAAACUUCUUUUAUAUGGGAAUAAAAUGUUCCACGUGUGGGAUUUUGUAUGUACCAUAUGAAUAAGGAUCGGCUAACUCCGUGCCAGCAGCCGCGGUAAUACGGAGGAUCCGAGCGUUAUCCGGAUUUAUUGGGUUUAAAGGGAGCGUAGGUGGAUUGUUAAGUCAGUUGUGAAAGUUUGCGGCUCAACCGUAAAAUUGCAGUUGAAACUGGCAGUCUUGAGUACAGUAGAGGUGGGCGGAAUUCGUGGUGUAGCGGUGAAAUGCUUAGAUAUCACGAAGAACUCCGAUUGCGAAGGCAGUUCACUGGACUGCAACUGACACUGAGGCUCGAAAGUGUGGGUAUCAAACAGGAUUAGAUACCCCUGUAGUC
rnacentral:rRNA from 1 species